UCAACAAAGAGAUCGAGGAAGACUCGAUGCCGGAGUCACCGAACAUUAGUUGCAGCGUCAUUCGCAUGGACGGUAAAGCAGCCUUCCUACAACCGCCAGAAUCAUCCGAGGACGCGGCCCAUCACCUGUUUCUAUAAAGAUUUUGACCUUUUUUGAGCAAAACAGUAUAUUAGUCGAUCUCCCUCCUAUUGUGUGAAAACGUUCUCGACCAGAUGUUUCAACUCCUGAUCCACGGUCAGAUUUCUAUAACGGCACGGCGGCUGACGGUCUUGGGCGAAUGGGUUCGAACAAAACAACCACAGAACAUCGAAACAAUAAAUAACGGAUUAAACGGACCCAGCGUGUUAUCACCCACAACUUCAACUACAUGAAGUUGAAUGCCAGGUUUACUCAUGGUUUUCUCCACAUGGUCUAUAUUAGUCUUGAGUAGCAGCAAUACAAGACACGUGACAAGCUCACAACCGGCGAGUGAAGUCUAUCGCUUCUCUCAAAUGCGCUAAUGCGUUUUCUUCACUUGUUUAGCUUGAUCAUUAAACCGUCCACGUCACCAAUGAGGAAAUCGGUUAGGAUGUUUUAUACUUGAACUACCGGCACGUUUUUAGUAAUGGCAUUAACAUUAGAAAGCGCCUCCGAAGGCCUGCAACUGAAGAAGACGGAGAAGAUCUCUUUCCUAAUCGACCUUUGGAUAUUGCCAAUCAUCCUUGGUGUUCCCGGUAACAUUCUUACCGUGAUAGUGGCCACUCGCCACCAGAGCAAGCGUCUCUCGCCGUCUGUCUACAUGGCGGCGAUGGGUGUGGUAGACACAAUCUUCCUGCUUGAUCGCACGGUGGCGCUCGUGACUAACAAACUUCUCCUUGCCGACCAAAUUGAUACAGAUCCCCUAUGGUUGUUCCGGAGCCAGGUGUUUAUCUUCCACACGAGUACCAUCCUUUCAGGGCUGUUCCUGGCCGUCUGGAAUAUUGGGAGGGGGGAGGGGUUAACACAUGCUCUGCUUGUUUCCUUGCAGGAGCCAGGUGUUUAUCUUCCACACGAGUACCAUCCUUUCAGGGCUGUUCCUGGCCGGCAUGUCAAUAGAUCGUCUAAUUGCCGUCAAGUUCCCAAUGGAUGCUCCGCGGCUUUGCACCACCAAGAGAGCCAAGACUGUUGUCAUCACACUAUCUUUCCUGAUAGUUGCUUUCAAUAUCCAUAUAUUCUACAUGAUUCGUUACUUUAGGGAUGACCAGUUAGGUAUAUAUGCGACGGUGAUGACAUUGCCCGAGCUGCCACAGCUGGAAGUUGUAGCGACAGGUUACUAUGUGGUGAUAGGGACUGUCCUGCCAUUCACUAUCAUCUUCACCACUAACGUCCUAAUCAUAACAUCACUAAGGAAGGCAUCCAAGGAACGGAAGAAACUAGAAUCGGCACAGAAUGUUCGCUUGGAGAAAGAUACGCAGUAUAUGACCAGAAUGUUAAUCUUUGUGAGUUUGGCUUAUAUUAUCCUAUCACUGCCGUUCAGGUUGUUCCAUCUUCUGAUGCGUAUUCCGCCCCUAUCUUAUGAUCUGUCUGUGUUUGACUCGAAGAAAUAUUACGUAGUUCAGUCUUGGUGUCUUGGUAUAGUCUGGAUGCUCAACUACGCCACUAACUUCUACUUGUACUGUAUCGGGGGCGGACGGAAGUAUAGACAGGAGGCGAAGACCGUCUUGAAAAAGAUGUUCCCAUGCUAAAUGUAGGUGGAGCAAGGGUCACUAAUAAAGAACCCGAUGCGAAGACAAAGAAAUGAUUUGUCGUGGUGUUUUCAAUCUUCUCCCAUCGAUCGACCACACUUUGUUAUAGUACUUAGCAAUUAGUAGGCCUAUGAUGUAAACUCGUUGUUGUAACCAUCACAGUUGGAUGUUUUUCGACGCAUUUACCUCCUCCAUGCCAAUGUUUAGUCGCUCCUGCGCGCCCCGGUGACCGCCAAUAGACUCAAGCAUCUCAGCUGAGGACCCCAGGACGAUACAUCCUGAAUAACAGAUGUCAUGCUCAUCACUCAUCCCUCCGCUGCAGACACAGACACAAGAGAAGAUGGCAGUGACACGGUGGCAACAUUUGUUUUGAAUUUUAUCAUUAGAAUAAUUGUUAUUAUUCGUCCGACGUGGUCGGUCUUACCAGUCAGGUUGGCGAACACCGUACUGCGAUGAUGGCAUUCAUCUGGUAUGACGCCCUCGUUUGAUUAAAAAGUAGAGUUGGGAUAGAUCGAUUACUGGCUAUGGAGUCGGCCAUGUUGACGAUCUCAACCAUAAGGAACGUGCCUCAGAAGGUAUGUUGCACAUUCUUCUGUCACUUUUUUGAGUCGAGGCCAAUGUUGAUCCAAUGGAAGAUGAAAGCUGUCUUUGCUCCGGUUAUUUUGUCACGUCCAAAUAACAUCUUUCCCAGGUAGCAUGCAACUUCGGCCCGAUAUCGGCUGAAUUAUGGCAUAGCGUGGCCAAGACGGCCGAUGUUGGGCCGAUAUCGGGCCAAUUUGGGCACUUUCCCUCCUGAUUUCACUCAAAGGUCCCGGCGUUUGGCCAGUAUCGGCAGGAAUAUGUUUCUUUGCCAGACUCCAGCCAAGGUUCAGCCGAUAUUCUGGGCCAACGUUGGGCCAAGAUCGGGCCGUUUGGCUGCCCUAAACAGAAAAUUUUAGAAGCAUUAAAUAUUAAUUAAUAUUUCUAAAAAUUCAGAAAAGUACACUGGUCGUUCUUGCCUCCGAAUUAUGAUUUAUGUUGUUAUUUGUAUAAUAUAAUUAUCAAUAAAUAUUAUGCGCGUAUUUACUGGCGGCUUUGUGAUUUUUCCGAGGAUUUCCGCGGAAAUCUAUAACUGCCGGGCAAAAUAUUGUGAGCUAGAAAGUCAAAAAUCUGUUUGAAAUGAGGUGAAGCCUGUUGUUCACUCCUAAACUGUUGGCCUCGGAAGGAAGAUUAUAAUCUCUGAUUAUCUUGCGUUUUAUUAUCUUUAGGACCCUGUUCAACUCGGCUUGGUUUGGAAUGUGCUUUGCUGUUACUUCAUCAAUAGAUGUCACCAGUGCGCAAAAACAUGGGACAUUCGUCAUUUGUCACUUCAUCCCUAACCUCUGUUGGACUCCCUAGCACUCUAUCUCCUGAUCGAGGUUCCAACUGUGCAGCAGGUGGUGCUUUAGGCUUUGGUCUAGGCGGUUGAAAUCCUCCUAUCCUGCGUUCUCGUACCCCUGGGAGAGCUAUCGUAGGUCUACUUGGUCGUGGGAUGGGCAGUAUCUCAAACCACAUACCACAUACCACAUACCCACAUACCCACAUGCCAAUUUUUUCGAGGUGGAGCAAUCCAAUGACGGUUGAAGCUUUUUCUUCACAACUAUUGUUAAAGGAAAAUCUGUCGAUCUUUCGACCUUAGAGGGCGCCACCGCCAGUAACUUAUGUUAAAGAGGAAGUCUGUUGUUAAAGGGGAAAUUUUUCGAUUUUUCCCCCGGAUAUGGUACUCUGCAAAAUGGGAAUAUCUGUCGAUAUAGUUGGGGAUAUGGUGAUAUUUGAAUCCUAGAGGGCGCCACCGUCACUUUCUAGUGUUAAAGGGAAAUAUCGUGGAAAUAUCGAA